CCUCCAUAUACCGCAGGUUCGGCCCUAAAAAGACAAACAACAACAACAACAAAAUAUAUAUAUGUAAUAAAGUUUUCAGAAGAGGCAGUCUUUGCUCAGACAUACUGCUUAAAAACUAUUUAGAAAUAGAAUCAGACAAGUCUUUAAUGCACAGAAAAGACAAACAAUUUAUUUCCUCAAAACUGACACAUGGGAAAACUGUGAAGGGAAGUUUGAUUUCGGGGCCACUGCUCCUGGCCCCGCCACCCCUACCCCCCUUAAAAGUCUUUUUGUCCCCCCCAGGCACCCCUUCCAGGUGCCCUAUGUCCUGGGCUUGACCACAAAGGCCAGCCCAUAGCUCCUCUUCUCUGCAGAGUUUGCUGCUGUUGCUACUCUUGUUUUUCUUGGACCAAUUCCAUAUUUGCUUUUCCGAAGAUGGGUUUAAGGUGCCAUUUGGCUGGGCUGACUAAACAUAAUAAUUUUGUAACGAAUGAAAGGGAGGUAGAAGUGCCUUCUUAAAGUAAUGAUACCCAAUGCUCUUUCUUCUGUCUUCUGAUAAUAAUAGUUGCCACUUACUGAAUGUUUUGGACAGACCACCAAAGCCUGAGCAAUUCUUACACAGACCUCUAUGGAAUAAAGGAUCACUGGUGUUCCCACUGUACAGAUUCGUGAACAUUGCAUGACUUCUUUAAAAUCACAUGGAUAUUGCUGGGUUUUCAAACUAGGAAAUGCAUCCCAGAUUUGUCAGAGAGAUGCUUUUGAGGAUAAAAGAUUUCUACGAUUUCUCAGAUCCUGAUCUAUAUUUAAAACAUUUGACUCGAUUAAAAACAAUACUUCUUUAAAACAGAAUCCACUGCAAGAUAAUCUCAGGCUUCGGUGUGAUACAUUUGUGUUUAGACAUUCUGGAAGUAGGAGCUCAAAACCAUAAGGCCCCAUAGAUGGUAUUCACUCUUGCUGCCCUCACUCUCACGGCUUCAGGCCUCUGGGCCUCUCCUCCCUCCCUUUGCCCCCCUGUUUUCUUUUUUAAGGUGCUUCUUUACCUCUGACUUCAGUCAAGGAUUGUGUGCUUCGUAGAGUUUCAUAGAUUCAAACUACAAGCAGUAACAAUCUACCCAGCCCAGUGCAUUCAAAUUCAGUUCAUGGUUGGCAUUCGGUUCCCUGCAUCCUUCCUCCCUUCCUCCCUCUGCCCCCUUCCAUCCCUCAAGCAUUCCUCCAAAUUAUUCUGUUUGUCUAGGUCCUGGCAUCUGGUAUUCUGUCUGUUCUAGGUGCUGAGCACAGGGCUAAGCAUACUUUGAUGAAUAAAACACACCAUUCUCUGAAACCUGUCUGAGGUUUUCCUUGUGCUGAAUUCCCUGUGUACGUCUAAUGAAUACAAUGCCAUUUCGGAUUAAAUGGCUCUCUUAUUAUUUAUUUUUUUUCCUGCGCGUUCCUUAUGAGUUGCUAAAUCGAUGAAAAGCUUGUGGAAAAAUUUGCACUGAUAACAUUCACAAAGAAAAGGCAUCCCUGGACAGCUGAAGAGACUCUGAGGCUCUGGAAAAUGUUAGGGGACACCCGUCCUAACGUUUAGGGUCAUGGACGGCUGAGUGGAGGAGGAGAUGACAUUUAAACCUGAGUAGGAUGCACGGGAGGUAGCUUAUCCUGUGUCCCUCAUGUGCAGGGGACAAUAUGCAAUGGCAUGAUUUAAGUGGUCAAAUUGUGCUUUGGAUGUGAAAGUCUAUAAACUCAGAGUGUGCUGGUCUUUCUGGGGACUUCACAGGGCUGGCAAAGUACUGUGAGAUAGAUGAGAGAUGGUGAGCACUGGAGCAGCAUCCCUGGCAGAGGCAGCCUUCAACCACGGGCUCCUUUAGAGCCUGAAAGGGGGGCAGUGACCCUGCAGGCUGAGAUACAGCCUGAACUAAGACCCAGGGAUCCACAGUCACGUUUUAUGGGCCUGCCAAGAACAGGGAUUUCUGCUCCAAGGUAAAGGAGAAGCAAAUUUGCCCAAUGAGGCAUUGGAGUGGCUAAAACAGGAUCACAAACCAACUGGUCAUUUCUUUCCUUUUUUUUUUUUUUUUUUUUUGGCUGUGCCCACAGCAGCUAUCCAUUCCUGGAACACAAAAUUAUUUAUCAUGCCCAAAUGUCAAUUUUCUUGCAUUGCUGAAUAUACUUCCUGCACCUUUCCAUUCUCUCUCAUGAAUAAUCAUACAGCACUGACAUCUUUUAUAUCCAAGUUUGCAGCUCAGUAGACCAAGAAAGUUGUACAAAGAACAAUGAGCUAAAUACGGAAAUAGCAUUGAUCCUAUCUUUAUCUACCUCGUCAUCUACUUGGGUCUCAGACACAUUAUCAUCAUGAUCAUUUUAUUUCUCUUAUAUUUCCUUUUUGCUGCUCUUCUUUAAGUUCUUUACGUUUCAAGCACUGUGGUAAGUGCUUUACAAACUGUAAGACAAAAAGGGAUUUCCGUAUAGCGUCCCUUCCCUCUUCUUCCAGAAAUCUGUUUUUCUGUUUGAAGGCCAGCCCUCCCUCUUUUUAACCCCUUGCAUCCACACCACUGCCUGUAGGCUUUGCAGUUGGUAGUGUCAUGGCCUGGAUGGGUCCACGGGGACUGGUCACAGGUGGGCAUGUCCCCCCAGGUGGACGGAGCCAUGACCUGAGUCUCCCCAGGCCAAGACUUUUGCUAGAGUUUUUGGAGAAGAGCAGCUCUCCUUCCAGUGAGGUCACUAGAUGUAACAGCCAUUUAAACCUGGAGCUGACCAGGAGCCCCUGCUCCCUGCUCUCAUUCCCUGACCUACCUGAGAAUGAAGUCAGCACACAGGAAGGCGGUCCCAAGAGCUGGAGAGGUAGCAAGAGCAUUCUCAAGUCAUGAAAUUCUGAAACCAGCCUUUUCUGAAGGGAGCAUUCUGCUGGGCCUUUCUAUUAUGUGGCCCAAGAGAUUCCCAUUUGUCCUUAUUAAACUCAUUGUAUUCGGGCUUUUGUUCUUGGCCAUUGGAAAGGGCACAGAUCUUACAGGGGUUUUUUUAAAUUUUUUUACUAAAAAAUCUCCUGUUCUUAAACACCAGUGUCUCCAAGGAAAUGUACUGGUGACAUAAUAUGAGUAAAUUUAAUACAGAAUCGUUCUCCACUUGCCCCCAAAUUUGGGGAGCUUCUCUUUAAAGAAAAAUAGGUUAGCAUGGCAGCUUAGCUGAAUCCACAGGAAAGCAAGCCCCAGAUUUUCUUGUGGACAGGCCUGUAAUAGAAGAGGAACAGCUGUGAGGGGGUAGGGGGCUGGAGAGCUGUGAGGGGUACUCUGCACUCCUGCUAGAAUUCUCCCAGCCCUCACAGGGGUGAAGAUGGGCUUGCGGCUCUCUUCGCAGCCCAAGCCACAGCCACCGAAGGACCCUGGCUCUUCUCAUUUGAAACUGGUAAGCCAGCUCUUUUCACCACCAGAUGAGAAGGCUUCUUCUGGUACAAAAAGUUUUGCUUAAUUACAGGGAGGCUUGAAAUUGAUGAAAUGGCCCCCUCCGGUGGUUAGAACAGCUGCUGUCCUCUCCUUCUUCAAGAAGCUUCCUGCAGGUAAGAAACCUAAGAUGAACCUUAGCGAAUUCAUUUGUCCAGUCCACCGUCCCCUCAUAUUUACCCUGUUGGUAAAAACUGCACAAACUAGCCUGCAGUGACAACACUACAACUUAGCAUCGUUCAAGAAAUCUCAGUUUGAAUGACUCCUAAAUGUUGGGAUGGAGUUCCCUAUGUUCUGGGAGUGUUAAUAUCACCCUCCUUUACAAAGGAGGCUCAUGACAUAAGUUUUGCAAGAGUCUAUAUUAAAUAAAACCCAACAACCCUAACAUGGUAGAUUAAUUUAUCUAUGUUUAGUCUCUUUCCUGGAGAAGGGCAAGAUUAAAAUGGAAGUUCUAUAGCAGAAGAUCCAAAAAAAAAAAAAAAAAAA